GCUCUAGUAGCUCAGAGGUAGAGCGCAUCCUUGGUAAGGCUGAAGUCGCGGGUUCAAUUCCCGCCUGGAGCU
rnacentral:tRNA from 1 species